UGGGGAAUAUUGCACAAUGGAGGGAACUCUGAUGCAGCGACGCCGCGUGAGUGAUGAAGGAAUUCGUUUCGUAAAACUCUGUUCUAUGGGAAGAAAAGGACUGUACCAUAGGAGAAAGCUCCGGCUAAAUACGUGCCAGCAGCCGCGGUAAUACGUAUGGAGCGAGCGUUGUUCGGAAUUAUUGGGCGUAAAGGGUGCGCAGGCGGCUUUACAAGUUGGAUGUGAAAUAUUGUGGCUCAACCACAAACGUGCAUCCAAAACUGCAAAGCUUGAGUUAAGGAGAGGUAAGUGGAAUUCCUGGUGUAGCGGUGGAAUGCGUAGAUAUCAGGAGGAAUACCGGUGGCGAAGGCGACUUACUGGACUUAAACUGACGCUCAGGCACGAAAGCGUGGGGAGCAAACAGG
rnacentral:rRNA from 1 species